rnacentral:lncRNA from 10 species
CACCGACUUCGUAGAAACCAGAACAUCAGCCAUCUUGGAAAAGAGAAAAACAAUGGAGUUACUUAUUUAAGAAAAACAAAAAACAAACAAACAAACAAAAAACACAACUAUUUCUUCCCAGGAGAGGCUAGAAGUAGCUUUUCUGCCUUCUGGCCGGAGCCAAUUGGAAUGACUGGUUUGGGAGAGGAGGAGGGGUUGUGUCAGCUGUGGUGCUUUGUUGUAAAAGGCAGCCUGACCUUUGCUACUGAGGAGAAAGAUGGAGCCGAGUCUCAAGCCCACCUUCUCUGUAUCUUUGCCACGUGGUACUGUAUGCCUGCCAGCUAGAAGGAAGAAUGUGAGCUCUACAGUGUCAGGCGUCUUGGAACUGGAUCAUGGCUCUGGAGCUCUACAAUCAGCAUGAGGCAAAGCCAGAUAAGCCUGCGACCUGCUCUUCAGGGUGGUGAGAUCCUCCAGACUCCAGCACCCAGAGAUGCUCUCCUGAGGCCCAGACCACCACUGCCAGCCAUGGAGGAGGAGUGGCGUUGGCGAUUCAGGACUGCUUUUUCUGUCUCUUCAGUGCCUCUCUCAGCAACAUGAAGGUAAAAACCAGGUGUAAAACCAAGCUGUAGCCCAACCACCUGGGGAACAUGUUUUCAAGACCUCCUGCUGUUGUAUCAUAAGUCAUGCUCCUCAAAUUUGGCUCAGAAUAAAUCUCUUCAAAUAUUUUACA